GAAAUGCGAUAAGUAAUGUGAAUUGCAGAAUUCAGUGAAUCAUCGAAUCUUUGAACGCACAUUGCGCCCGCCAGAAUUCUGGCGGGCAUGCCUGUUCGGGCGUCAUUUCAACCCUCGAGCUCCCCUUUCGGGGGGAGCCCGGCGUUGGGGACCCGGCGCUAACAACGCCGGCCCCGAAAUGGAGUGGCGGCCCGUCCGCGGCGACCUCUGCGUAGUAACAACCACUCGCACCGGGACCCGGGCGUGGCCACGCCGUAAAACACCCCACCUUCCGAAUGUUGACCUCGAAUCAGGUAGGAAUACCCGCUGAACUUAAGC
rnacentral:misc_RNA from 1 species